rnacentral:rRNA from 1 species
UAGGGAAUCUUCCGCAAUGGGCGAAAGCCUGACGGAGCAACGCCGCGUGAGUGAUGAAGGUCUUCGGAUCGUAAAACUCUGUUAUUAGGGAAGAACAAAUGUGUAAGUAACUAUUCACGUCUUGACGGUACCUAAUCAGAAAGCCACGGCUAACUACGUGCCAGCAGCCGCGGUAAUACGUAGGUGGCAAGCGUUAUCCGGAAUUAUUGGGCGUAAAGCGCGCGUAGGCGGUUUUUUAAGUCUGAUGUGAAAGCCCACGGCUCAACCGUGGAGGGUCAUUGGAAACUGGAAAACUUGAGUGCAGAAGAGGAAAGUGGAAUUCCAUGUGUAGCGGUGAAAUGCGCAGAGAUAUGGAGGAACACCAGUGGCGAAGGCGACUUUCUGGUCUGUAACUGACGCUGAUGUGCGAAAGCGUGGGGAUCAAACAGG